rnacentral:sRNA from 1 species
UCGCCUUCAGUGCAGGCUAAAAUCUCCUGUUCACGAAUUACACAGUACUGUUGAUGUACGUUUUUCUCUUCUCUUCUCUUCUUCAUCUCCAAAUGUGCUUUAGUCCUAACCUAGAGGGACCACCUGUGAGCGAGAGGGUAGUUUAGUCUCCAUGCUUAUUCACUCCUUGGUCUCU